rnacentral:rRNA from 1 species
UAUUAAAGGGCCGCAGUAAUUGACUGUGCGAAGGUAGCAUAAUCAUUAGUUUUUUAAUUGGGAACUUGUAUGAAGGGUUGGAUGAGAGGUAGGCUGUCUCUUUUUUAUUAUUAGAAUUUGACCUUUAAGUGAAAAGGCUUAAAUUUUCUGGAGUGACGAUAAGACCCUAUAAAACUUUAUACCAGUAAAGUUUUGCUUUAAAAUUGAGUUGAAAUAAUUAACCUUUAUUGGUAUUUCGUUGGGGAGACGAAGAUAUUGGAGUAACAGUCGUUUAAACUUAAUAAUUCUAAUUAGAUUUUGAUCCUUUACUAGGGAUUAUAAGACUAAGUUACUUUAGGGAUAACAGCGUGAUUUUCUUUGAGAGUCCAUAUCGACAAGAUAAGUUGCGACCUCGAUGUUGAAUUAAAAUUUCAGAUUGGUGCAGCUGCUUUUCUGGUG